AGUAAAGUAAGCUAAUAAAGCUGUUAGGCUCAUGCCCUACUUAUGUCGGUUAACUCCUUCCUUUACUA
rnacentral:tRNA from 1 species